AGCGCGACGGGGUCGACGGCGCGGGUGACCGUCAGGUAGUCGCGGAUCGCCGUGCCGUGCCGGUCCUC
rnacentral:sRNA from 1 species